GGAGAAUAAUAGAACGGAGCCUAGAAAUCCUAAAAUGAUAUGCGAAAAUGCGAGUCUCACUUUUUUAUUUCAAAAACUGUUCUGGGUUUAUUGGAAAAAAGAUCCGGGAGUACGUAAACCGUUAAUUGUGAAAGGUGUUACUUAUCGUAGCUAAGUCAAAUGUGCCAGGGGAUAGGAGUUUGACAUUGGAAUCACUUGUGGGAUGACGCCUCGACACAAUUAUAGUCUGAUGAUAUCAAAUGAAAAAGGGAAUCAUUAAUAUCGAAUAGUAUUUCCUUAUAAAAUUAUCAUUUAAUGACUAUUAUUUGAAAAUCAGUGUGAAGUACUUUGACGUAUAUAAUAAACGAUAUCAAAUCGAUAAGGCUCCUGGAAACGUUUGUAUCACUGAUACGAACAGAAGACGAUAAUUCAGGAAAUCUGUAUUGGAUAAUUACCCACUUAUUAAUGUCACAUAUUCAUACAUUAAUAUUAAUCAUCAAGAGACUCUUCAUCAAGAGCUGACAAGAAUAUUGAGAAUUUUUUAAACCUGGCUUUUAUACCGUUUAUAUUAUUAUCCACUAAUUUCAGAUGUACAGAAUCUAUUUUGUGUCUUGGGAAAGAAGCUUACAAGUGCAAAUAUGUAAUUUUUGUUUAACGAGAAGCAUUCACAGUGUAAUGUGGAAUGAUGUUAUUGGAUUAACCAAUCUUUAUUGCCGUUCUUCUUUUUAUAUGCUUUUCCGAUAAGAAAAAGAAACGAUAAUGAUAUAAAAUAAAUAUAUGUUAGAAUAUGCAGACUGAUCUAGA